UUUUAUUUAGGGUUUAAGGUUUGGUUAGGAUUUGAUUUAGGAUUUAGGGUUUUUUUAGGAUUUGAUUUAGGGUUUAAGAUUUGUUUAGGAUUUUAUUUAGGAUUUAGGAUUUAGAUUAGAAUUUGGUUAGGGUUUGAUUUAGGAUUUAGGGUUGGUUUAGGAUUUAGUUAGGAUUUGGUUUAGGAUUUGAUUGGAGUUUUGUUUAAAGUUUGUUUAGGAUUUUAUUAAGGGUUUAGGAUUUUAUUAGGAUUUAAAAUUUAAUUAGUUUUGGCCUAAAGUUUGAAUGAAGUUCAAUAGGAUUUUAACUAGAAUUAAAUUAAGAUUGAAUUGAGAUGUAUUUGAGUGAUAUUUGUGUUCUUUCUAAUGUUUCUUCAAGAAUUCUUAUUGUUUGUUUGAAAUUUCUUUGAGGUUUUUUUGAAUUUGAUUAAGCUUGCUUAGCAUUAUUAUGCUCUAAUUAGAGCAUUGUUAAUAUUCUAUUAGAAUAAGGAUUUUGUUAUUGUAAUUUCCGUUCUUCCUUCCACAGCCAAGU
rnacentral:lncRNA from 1 species